ACGUGAGUAACCUGCCCCUGACUCUGGGAUAAGCGUUGGAAACGACGUCUAAUACUGGAUAUGACUGCCGGCCGCAUGGUCUGGUGGUGGAAAGAUUUUUUGGUUGGGGAUGGACUCGCGGCCUAUCAGCUUGUUGGUGAGGUAAUGGCUCACCAAGGCGACGACGGGUAGCCGGCCUGAGAGGGUGACCGGCCACACUGGGACUGAGACACGGCCCAGACUCCUACGGGAGGCAGCAGUGGGGAAUAUUGCACAAUGGGCGAAAGCCUGAUGCAGCAACGCCGCGUGAGGGAUGACGGCCUUCGGGUUGUAAACCUCUUUUAGUAGGGAAGAAGCGAAAGUGACGGUACCUGCAGAAAAAGCACCGGCUAACUACGUGCCAGCAGCCGCGGUAAUACGUAGGGUGCAAGCGUUGUCCGGAAUUAUUGGGCGUAAAGAGCUCGUAGGCGGUUUGUCGCGUCUGCUGUGAAAUCCCGAGGCUCAACCUCGGGCUUGCAGUGGGUACGGGCAGACUAGAGUGCGGUAGGGGAGAUUGGAAUUCCUGGUGUAGCGGUGGAAUGCGCAGAUAUCAGGAGGAACACCGAUGGCGAAGGCAGAUCUCUGGGCCGUAACUGACGCUGAGGAGCGAAAGCGUGGGGAGCGAACAGGAUUAGAUACCCUGGUAGUCCACGCCGUAAACGUUGGGCGCUAGAUGUAGGGACCUUUCCACGGUUUCUGUGUCGUAGCUAACGCAUUAAGCGCCCCGCCUGGGGAGUACGGCCGCAAGGCUAAAACUCAAAGGAAUUGACGGGGGCCCGCACAAGCGGCGGAGCAUGCGGAUUAAUUCGAUGCAACGCGAAGAACCUUACCAAGGCUUGACAUACACCGGAAACGGCCAGAGAUGGUCGCCCCCUUGUGGUCGGUGUACAGGUGGUGCAUGGUUGUCGUCAGCUCGUGUCGUGAGAUGUUGGGUUAAGUCCCGCAACGAGCGCAACCCUCGUUCUAUGUUGCCAGCGCGUUAUGGCGGGGACUCAUAGGAGACUGCCGGGGUCAACUCGGAGGAAGGUGGGGAUGACGUCAAAUCAUCAUGCCCCUUAUGUCUUGGGCUUCACGCAUGCUACAAUGGCCGGUACAAAGGGCUGCGAUACCGUAAGGUGGAGCGAAUCCCAAAAAGCCGGUCUCAGUUCGGAUUGAGGUCUGCAACUCGACCUCAUGAAGUCGGAGUCGCUAGUAAUCGCAGAUCAGCAACGCUGCGGUGAAUACGUUCCCGGGCCUUGUACACACCGCCCG
rnacentral:rRNA from 1 species